CAGAAGGUAUUUUAUUUAGAAUAUUAAUUUUGGAGAUUAAUGGAGGGUUAGCGUUUAUACUUCCUUCUGA
rnacentral:tRNA from 1 species